rnacentral:rRNA from 1 species
CGGCGUGCCUAAUACAUGCAAGUCGAGCGGUAACAGGGCUUCACCGUGUUCUUGACACACUUGGCGCAGAGUUCGCAAGUGGGAGAUCUCGAGAACACAGUGAAGCCGCUGACGAGCGGCGGACGGCUGAGUAACGCGUGGGAACGGACCCCAAACUGAGGGAUAACUACUCGAAAGAGUGGCUAAUACCGCAUGUGAUCUUCGGAUUAAAGGAUUUAUCCGGUUUGGGACUGGCCUGCGUACGAUUAGAUAGUUGGUAGGGUAAAGGCCUACCAAGUCGACGAUCGUUAGAUGGUUUGAGAGGAUGAUCAUCCAGACUGGGACUGAGACACGGCCCAGACUCCUACGGGAGGCAGCAGUAGGGAAUCUUUCACAAUGGGCGAAAGCCUGAUGGAGCAACGCCGCGUGCAGGAUGAAGGCCUUCGGGUUGUAAACUGCUUUUAUAUCCGAGAAAUAUGAUGGUAAGAUAUGAAUAAGGACCGGCUAACUACGUGCC